rnacentral:tRNA from 1 species
GCAGGGGUGGCAGAGCAUGGUCAAACCCGCCCUAAGCCGGUAGGGGGCUAGAUGCGCGGGACUCAAGAUCCCGUCCCGAAGGGGUUCGUGGGUUCAAAUCCCACCCCCUGCA